rnacentral:rRNA from 1 species
UGGGGAAUUUUGCACAAUGGGGGAAACCCUGAUGCAGCGACGCCGCGUGAUUUAGAAGGCCUUCGGGUUGUAAAAAUCUUUUUUACGGGAUGAAAAUGACAGUACCGUAAGAAUAAGGUCCGGCUAAAUACGUGCCAGCAGCCGCGGUAAUACGGAUGGACCGAGCGUUGUCCGGAAUCAUUGGGCGUAAAGGGUACGUAGGCGGCCUAGUAAGUUAGAAGUGAAAUAAUAUAGCUCAACUAUAUAAAGCUUUUAAAACUGCUAGGCUUGAGAGAUGGAAGGGAAAGUGGAAUUCCUAGUGUAGCGGUGAAAUGCGCAGAUAUUAGGAAGAAUACCGGUGGCGAAGGCGACUUUCUGGUCAUCAUCUGACGCUGAGGUACGAAAGCGUGGGUAGCAAACAGG